AAGCAUGUGGGGCUUAGCCCUCCCUACUGAAAAAUCCAGCUUGUUCUGACCAGCUACCAAAACAAAGGCCAAGUUGGUAGAAAGGAACCUGUUUCUGAAUUACUGGUGCUAAUACAACAGUUGUGUGUGUGUGUGUUUAAGUAACAACAGUAAGGCAAUUACAAAAAUCUAAUACAGUGCUCUCCACUAAUAUUGGCACCCUUGGUAAAUAUGAGCAAAGAAGGCUGUGAAAAUUUGUCUUUAUUGUUUAACCUGUUGAUCUUUUGUUUUAAAUGAAUUCACAAAAUAUUCUGCUCUCAUGGAUAACAAAAAACUGCAAACAAAACAAGUUUAUCCAAAAAAAAAAAAAAGUUUGUUAAAUAUAUGUGUACCCCAAUUAUUGGCACCCUUUUAAUCAAUGCUUUGUGCUACCUCCCUUUGCCAAGAUAGCAGCUCUGAGUCUUCUCCUAUAAUGCCUGAUGAGGUUGGAGAAUACAUGGUGAGGGAUCUGAGACCGUUCCUCCAUACAGAAUCUCUCCAGAUCCUUCAAAUUUCGAGGUCCAUGCUGGUGGACUCUGCUCUUCAGUUCACCCCACAGGUUUUCUAUGGGGUUCAGGUCAGGGGACUGGGGUUUCCAUGGCAGGACCUUGAUUUUGUGGUCAGUAAACCAUUUUUGUGUUGAUGUAUGUUUUGGAUCAUUGUCCUGCUGGAAGAUCCAAACACGGCCCAUUUUAAGCUUUCUGGCAGAGGCAGUCAGGUUUUCAUUUUAAUAUCUGUUAAUAUUUGAUCGAGUCCAUGAUGCCAUAUAGCCUAACAAAAUGUCCAGGUCCUCUGAAAAACAGCCCCAAAACAUUAAAGAUCCACCACCAUAUUUAACCAUGGACAUGAGGUACUUUUCCAUAUGGAUACCUCUCUGUGUGCACCAAAACCACCUCUGGUGUUUAUUACCAAAAAGCUCUAUUUUGGUUUCAUCUGACCAUAGACCCCGAUCCCAUUUGAAGUUCCAGUAGUGUCUGGCAAACUGAAGACGCUCGAGUUUGUUUUUGGAUGGGAGUAGAGGCUUUUUUCUUGAAACCCUUCCAAACAACUUUUGGUGAUUGCGUUGAGACGAUAUAGACACACUUCCAAUUCCAGAUACUUCCCAUUGUGAGAAGCUCAACAACCUUUUGCCACACAUCACAGCUAUAUUCCUUGGUCUUACCCAUUGUUAUGAAUGACUUUGAAGGGAAUAUGACAUGUCUUACCUCAUAUUUAUACACCUGUGAAACAGGAAGUCAUGCUUGAACAAUUUCCUGUUCCUAGUCACCCAGGUGUACCAACAAAAAUGUAAAAUAUCAAUAGGAAUAUACUUCAAAUAUAUUUUACUCAUAUGAAUUCAUAGGGGUUUUGGAUUGUUGGACACCUAUAGUUAAAGAUUUUAUUAUUAUUAUUAUUUAUAAACCUGUGUUGUGUUUGCAAUUGUUUGAUAUCCAUGAGAGCAGAGUAUUUUUGUACAAAAGAUCAAACAGUUAAACAAUAAAGACGAUUUUUACCAAGGGUGUCAAUAUUAGUAGAGGCCACUGGACAUUUACUGAUCAGUUUGGACAAGUAAUUAGAAAGCUGGAAAAUAACUUACCAGCUGGC